UGGGGAAUAUUGGGCAAUGGGCGAAAGCCUGACCCAGCAACGCCGCGUGAGGGAAGAAGGGUUUCGGCUCGUAAACCUCUGUCCUAUGGGACGAAGGAAGUGACGGUACCAUAGGAGGAAGCCCCGGCUAACUACGUGCCAGCAGCCGCGGUAAUACGUAGGGGGCGAGCGUUGUCCGGAAUGAUUGGGCGUAAAGGGGCGCGUAGGCGGCCUGUUAAGUCUGGAGUGAAAGUCCUGCUUUCAAGGUGGGAAUUGCUUUGGAUACUGAUGGGCUGGAGUGCAGGAGAGGAAAGCGGAAAUUACCGGUGUAGCGGUGAAAUGCGUAGAGAUCGGUAGGAACACCAGUGGCGAAGGCGGCUUUCUGGACUGAAGCUGACGCUGAGGCGCGAAAGCGUGGGGAGCAAACAGGAUUAGAUACC
rnacentral:rRNA from 1 species